GAUGAACGCUGGCGGCGUGCCUAAUACAUGCAAGUCGAGCUAACAGACGAGGAGCUUGCUCCUCUGACGUUAGCGGCGGACGGGUGAGUAACACGUGGAUAACCUACCUAUAAGACUGGGAUAACUUCGGGAAACCGGAGCUAAUACCGGAUAAUAUAUUGAACCGCAUGGUUCAAUAGUGAAAGACGGUUUUGCUGUCACUUAUAGAUGGAUCCGCGCCGCAUUAGCUAGUUGGUAAGGUAACGGCUUACCAAGGCAACGAUGCGUAGCCGACCUGAGAGGGUGAUCGGCCACCCUGGAACUGAGACACGGUCCAGACUCCUACGGGAGGCAGCAGUAGGGAAUCUUCCGCAAUGGGCGAAAGCCUGACGGAGCAACGCCGCGUGAGUGAUGAAGGUCUUCGGAUCGUAAAACUCUGUUAUUAGGGAAGAACAAAUGUGUAAGUAACUAUGCACGUCUUGACGGUACCUAAUCAGAAAGCCACGGCUAACUACGU
rnacentral:rRNA from 1 species